rnacentral:lncRNA from 1 species
UUAAGAAUUAAAAUUUUCACCGCUCUAACUUCCCGCCCCAAGUUCCCUUUCCUCCCUCAAAUUUGAAAUUUUCAACCCUACCCCUACAUUCCUUACUCUGUUGUUUAUCGUUUCUGAUCCUCCUCAAAUGAUAGAUUUAUCAUCCCGCUUUUGUUCUCUACCACAUUUAACGACGGCAUCAUCUCAGCGGCAGUGGCUCAGCGAUGACAUUUUGGUCUGAUGAGAAGUUUGUGAUAGAUUUGAAUUAAAGGGUUAUCAGGGAUGUGGAAUCGGUUAUGAAACCAUGGGGUGGUUCACAGGGAAAAUUAAUUGGUUUAUUGGCUCAUGGUGUAGAAAAAAAACGUCCGAGGCGUCUGUAUUGAGUGUCAUUCUUGAUUCAUUUGAGCUUUGGUAAUUAGUUUCACUGGUAUAAUCAUUGUUUUUGUUCAUCACCUGUUCAUGAGAUGGAUUCCAAGAUUUUGAAGAACUAGAGGUAUGCAAGGAAGCACAUGAAAUAGAGUGGGAAAAUUUCUAUAGAAAAAUAUAUGUUUUGAGACUUUGACAGCUCUAGCAACUUCCUUUCAUGUGCUACAACCUUUGACAUAUUCUAUAUCUCGCUUUGUAUGGGUUAAGUUACUAAGUGACAUAAAUUUCCCGCCGAAACAAUGAGUAGAAAUGGUCUGAAGAGGUGACCAUAGUUCCAACAUUUGAUGGUAGAAAUGUUUAACGGAGCCUUUCUUGAGGAAUGUUGAACUUGUAUCUUUACCAGAAUUAUACCAUCUGACAGACAUCAACAAAGCUUGGAGGCUCUGAUGUGGGAGCUAUCAAACACCUAUCACUUGAAGAUCAAGACGAGUAGAAUAUUCUCUUUAUUAUUAGGAUGUUAUAUGUUGAUGUUAUACUAUAACUAUUAGGAUGUUAUAUGUUGAUGGUCUAUUUAUAAAAUUGGUUUUAUAAUCUUAUUUGGGAUAUUAGGAC